UCGCCGCGCAGCCAGUUGCGUGUGAGGCAGUGCUCUGCGAGUAUGUAGUUCGAGUCACUAGUUUCCUUGGUGCCCAUUACGCUGCCUCAUGACUGGCAGCGGCCAUCCUGUGUAAUGCCACUACGCCGUGCGACACAUGGUGCAAAUGGCAGUGGCUGAGUGUUGUGACGAGCAAUGAGGGACAAGAAAGAAGUAGCGAGAUGACCCAGGUCUCCGUGACUUUGUGGUGGGUGUGAGUCAUCAGAGCACAGUACGACUUUUCACCACCUUUACUGGUUUGUACCCAUAACUUCUUUACAACACCUGAAGCUUGCACAGGUGAAUGUAGAAACCACCUUUUCUCACAUGGACAGAGGAGAAUACGGGAAAAUAACAGGAGAUUCCACUGGUCUGCAGUUGACGAUGAAAGUCAAUAAGCAUUAACCCUUUGGCUGCAAUGAAUGAGAGAAAAUGUUACGUUGCAGGUUAAAAGUAUGAUUACAAAGGGCAUAAUUAAUAGCAAAUAGAGUGAAUAGUAGAGUAGCUAAAAUUUUGAGACAGCUACUGUUUUACGUUGGAUUUGUAAACUAUCUAAGGUUACACAAGUAAUAAUAUGUUGUAAUAUGUUAUGAAGAGUGAUGGUAGUACGAUAAUAGUGGUAGUAUAUUUUUAAUUGUUAACAUGCUUCACUUCAUUGAACUCUUAACAAUAAAUC